GUACAGAGAGAUUAUUGAUGAAAACCUGCUCCAGAGCACUCAGGACCUCAUACUGGGGCAAAGGUUCACCUUCCAACAGAACAAUGACCUUAAGCACACAGCCAAGACAAUGCAGGAGUGGCUUCAUGACAAGUCUCUGAAUGUCCUUGAGUGGCCCAGACAGAGCCCGGACUUGAACACAAUCGAACAUCUCUGGAGAGACCUGAAAAUAGCUGUGCAGUGACGCUCCCCAUACAACCUGACAGAGCUUGAGAGGAUCUGCAGAGAAGAAUGGGAGAGACUCCCCAAAUACAGGUGUGCCAAGCUUGCAGCAUCAUACCCAAGAAGACUAGAUGCUGUAAUCGCUGCUAAAAGGUGCUUCAACAAAGUACUGAGUAAAGGGUCUGAAUACUAAUGGAAAUGUGAUAUUUCCAUUUUUUAUUUGUAAUACAUUUGCAAAAAUUUCUAAAAUCCAGUUUUUGCUUUGUCAUUAUGGGGUAUUGUGUGGAGAUUGAUGAGGUUAAAAAAAAAACUAUUUCAGCAAUUUUAGAAUAACAAAAUGUGGGAAAAGUCAAGGGGUCUGAAUACUUUCCGAAGGCACCGUAUAUGUAGGUCAUUGUAUGUGUAUAAUGUGCUUUUAAUGUCGUACACCACUUGUGAACAAACUUACAAUCCCCUUGUAUGUGGUCGUUUUCUCUAGGUACAGACAGUGUGGAGUCGGACCGGUCUGGGAUCAUGCUGCCAUUCCACAGUACACCACUAGGUGGCAGGAGAGGAAGCAGCAAGCCCUACUCCUGCUCAGAUGGACCAGUGAAACCCCAGAGCAGAAAACCCUUGAAUACAGCAUCAGAGGAGAACCGUUCUCUGGAGACCUCCAAUCUCACCCAUCCCAGUCCUCCAGCACUCUGGCACUCAUACAAGAACUUCAGCUACAGAUCUCCACCACCACCAGGUGACAUGGAGAAUGUCUACUCUAAGGGCAGGUAUCCUCUCUCCUCUCAGCCUCUACAGAAGCCUCUGUUGCAAGUCAACUAUGGCUCCUCCUGCAGUUUACCUGCAGGUUUCAAAGUGCGAGAGCAGCAGUCUGUCUCCCACCACCGGAGGCGCUCUACCCAGUCAGACUCAGCACUGCUGCCCAGCAACGUGUACUUUCAGCAGACCUUUCCCCCAGCUCUCAGCCCCCCCAGGACUGGGGUCAUAGCCAGCAGGCACAAAGCCAGCAGGGUGAGCCUGUCCACAUGGAAAACAUUCUUUCAUAUCAAUGGGUGCCAGUAAUGUUUUACUUGUAUUUACUGAGAAAUGAUUAGUGGUACUAUUUAACUUGUAACAAUUUAGCACAUCUGGUACUCGUACUGCACAGUUUUUGUUUGUGUUUGAUUUAAUUUGACAAAGAAUUAUAAUCCUAAAAGAACCAAGGAGCUUUUUGUAGGUUAUUAUCAUUUCAUGUCAGAAGCGUUUUCUAUGCCUUUUGUAAGUAAAUUAAAGGUGACUGAGAUACAAGCGUAACCUUAAACUGUUGUUGUUUGUCUUAGGAUGAGGACAUCAACAGGACAUUGGACAGGGCUAUCGAGGCAGCCCGCAUUAUGAAGAGGACCACUGAUAGGAUGGCCAAGAGCCUGUCAGCUGACCUUGCCAAGGUUGAGCUGUACAGGAAGUUACACGGCCUUCACCCAUUGACAGGGAGGAACAAUACUGGCUCAUAACACUCUAAUUGACACACUGGAGAUACUGCUGCUACUAUAGGGCUGGUCCAGGAUUAGCUAACCAGUGAAUUCAGCAGGGAUUAUUUUGUAUACAGGUGAAGUCGGGAAGUUGACAUACACCUUAGCCAAAUACAUUUAAACUCAGUUUUUCACAAUUCCUGACAUUUAGUCCUAGUAAAAAAUUCCCUGUUUUAGGUCAGUUAGGAUCACCACUUUAUUUUAAGAAUGUGAAAUGUCAGAAUAAUAGUAGAGAGAAUUAUUUAUUUCAGCUUUUAUUUAUUUCAUCACAUUCCUAGUGGGUCAGAAGUUUACAUACACUCAAUUAGUAUUUGAUAGGAUUGCCUUUAAAUUGUUUAACUUGGGUCAAACGUUGUGGGUAGCCUUCCACAAGCUUCCCACUAUAAGGGUGAAUAGGGUAGGGUGAAUUUUGGCCCAUUCCUCCUGACAGAGCUGGUGUAACUGAGUCAGGUUUGAAGGCCUCCUUGCUCACACAUGCUUUUUCAGUUCUGCCCACACAUUUUCUAUAGGAUUGAGGUCAGGGCUUUGUGAUGGUCACUCCAAUACCUUGACAAUGGUGUCCUUAAGCCAUUUUGCCACAACUUUGGAAGUAUGCUUGGGGUCAUUGUCCAUUUGGAAGACCCAUUUGCGACCAAGCUUAACUUCCUGACUGAUGUCUUGAGAUGUUGCUUCAAUUUAUCCACAUAAUUUUCCUGCCUCAUGAUGCCAUCUAUUUUGUGAAGUGCACCAGUCCCUCCUGCAGCAAAUUACCCCCACAACAUGAUGCUGCCACCCCCGUGCUUCACGGUUGGGAUGGUGUUCUUCGGUUUGCAAGCCUCCCCCUUUUUCCUCCAAACAUAAUGAUGGUCAUUAUGGCCAAACAGUUCUAUUUUUGUUUCAUUGGACCAGAGGACAUUUCUCCCCAAAAUAUGAUCUUUGUGCAGUUUCAAAACAAAGUCUGGCUUUUUAUGGUGGUUUUGGAGCAGUGGCCUCUUCCUUGCUGAGCAGCCUUUCAGAUGAUGUCGAUAUAGGACUCGUUUUAUUGUGGAUAUAGAUACUUUGUACCUGUUUCCUCCAGCACCUUCACAAGGUCCUUUGCUGUUGUUCUGGGAUUGGUUUUCAUUUUUUACACCAAAGUACGUUCAUCUCUAGGAGACAGAACGCGUCUCCUUCCUGAGCAGUAUGAUGGCUGCGUGGUCCCAUGGUGUUUAUACUUGCGUACUAUUGUUUGUACAGAUGAACGUGGUACUUUCAUUUGGAAAUUGCUCCCAAAGAUGAACCAGACUUGUGGUCUACAAUUAUUUUUCUGAAGUCUUGACUGAUUUCUUUUGAUUUUCCCAUGAUGUCAAGCAGAGGCACUGAGUUUGAAGGUAGGCCUUGAAAUACAUCCACGGGUACACCUCCAAUUGACUCAAAUAAUGUCAAUUAUCCUAUCAGAAGCUUCUAAAGCCAUGACAUCAUUUUCUGGAAUUUUCCAAGCUGUUUAAAGGCACAGUCAACUUAGUGUAUGUAAACUUCUGACCCACUGGAAUUGUGAUACAGUGAAUUAUAGAAAAAAUCUGUAAACAAUUGUUGAAAAACUUACUUGUGUCAUGCACAAAGUAGAUGUCCUAACCAACUUGCCAAAACUAUAGAUUGAUAUCAAGAAAUUAGUGGAGUGGUUGAUGACCAAGUUUUAAUGACUCCAACCUAAGUGUGUGUAAACUUCCCACUUCAACUGUAGAUCAUCCUCUUCCCUACCAGUUUCCCCUGGCUGCUGCUGUUCUCAUCGGUCCUCCUCUUGGCUCAUCUGAAAGGUAACAAGAUAGAGGUGCAACUUGUCACUGGUUAGUUUAAGGGAAACUGCAGUUCCUUUGGACUUGUUUUAGGUUUGGGUCAUUAAGAAAUGCUAGUGGCCAUGACUGAACUCAAACGUGAGUUGGUUUUCGGGUGUGGUUUGAUGUGGUUGAUUUGAUUGUUAGCACCACCUGGCACGCUACAGAAUGUUGUUUCAUGUCUCCUUAUAUUCAUAUAGCCUAGGGGCUAUGUAGCUUACAGAACAUUAUAUAACAGAACAUUAUAUAACUUAAGGGCCUAUGCAUUUUCAAUGUUUUGAUUACAGAACAUUAUAUAACUUAAGUCCUAUGUAUUUUCAAUGUUUUGUUCACCCACAAUCUAACCACAAAGCUUGUCAACCUUUCCCCUGUCUUUCUGGCUGACGCCUUCCCUUCUAAUUUCAAGUUAAACUUAGUUUAUUUUUCAUAUAUACAUGGAGUGGACACAGUGAAAUGAAAUGCUUGCUUGCAGGUUAACCUCUAGAAC
rnacentral:lncRNA from 13 species